AACGUAGGAGACGAACGUUAUCCGGAGUUACUGGGCGUAAAGGGCGUGUAGGCGGUUUGUUAAGUCUGGCGUGAAAGCUCUCGGCUAAACCGGGGAGAGGUCGUUGGAUACUGGCGAACUAGAGGAUGGUAGAGGCGUGUGGAAUUCCGGGCGUAGUGGUGAAAUGCGUAGAUAUCCGGAGGAACACCAGUGGCGAAGGCGACUUUCGUGGCCUGUUCUUGACGCUGAGGCGCGAAAGCUAGGGGAGCAAACGGGG
rnacentral:rRNA from 1 species